AUUGAACGCUGGCGGCAUGCCUUACACAUGCAAGUCGAUCGGCAGCACGGGUGCUUGCACCUGGUGGCGAGUGGCGAACGGGUGAGUAAUACAUCGGAACAUGUCCUGUAGUGGGGGAUAGCCCGGCGAAAGCCGGAUUAAUACCGCAUACGAUCUACGGAUGAAAGCGGGGGACCUUCGGGCCUCGCGCUAUAGGGUUGGCCGAUGGCUGAUUAGCUAGUUGGUGGGGUAAAGGCCUACCAAGGCGACGAUCAGUAGCUGGUCUGAGAGGACGACCAGCCACACUGGGACUGAGACACGGCCCAGACUCCUACGGGAGGCAGCAGUGGGGAAUUUUGGACAAUGGGCGAAAGCCUGAUCCAGCAAUGCCGCGUGUGUGAAGAAGGCCUUCGGGUUGUAAAGCACUUUUGUCCGGAAAGAAAUCCUUGGCCCUAAUACGGUCGGGGGAUGACGGUACCGGAAGAAUAAGCACCGGCUAACUACGUG
rnacentral:rRNA from 1 species